AGGACGAACGCUGGCGGCGUGCUUAACACAUGCAAGUCGAGCGGAAAGGCCCUUCGGGGUACUCGAGCGGCGAACGGGUGAGUAACACGUGAGUAAUCUGCCCCUAGCUCUGGGAUAGCUCCGGGAAACCGGGAUUAAUACCAGAUAUGACCACUUUAGACAUCUGCUGUGGUGGAAAGAAUUUCGGCUAGGGAUGAGCUCGCGGCCUAUCAGCUUGUUGGUGGGGUAAUGGCCUACCAAGGCGACGACGGGUA
rnacentral:rRNA from 1 species